rnacentral:rRNA from 1 species
GAAAACGACUGCUAAGACUGGAUAGGAGACAAGAAGGCAUCUUCUUGUUUUUAAAAGACCUAGCAAUAGGUAUGCUUAGGGAGGAGCUUGCGUCACAUUAGUUAGUUGGUGGGGUAAAGGCCUACCAAGACUAUGAUGUGUAGCCGGGCUGAGAGGUUGAACGGCCACAUUGGGACUGAGACACGGCCCAAACUCCUACGGGAGGCAGCAGUAGGGAAUUUUCGGCAAUGGAGGAAACUCUGACCGAGCAACGCCGCGUGAACGAUGAAGUAUUUCGGUACGUAAAGUUCUUUUAUUAGGGAAGAAUAAAUGAUGGAAAAAUCAUUCUGACGGUACCUAAUGAAUAAGCCCCGGCUAACUAUGUGCCAGCAGCCGCGGUAAUACAUAGGGGGCAAGCGUUAUCCGGAAUUAUUGGGCGUAAAGGGUGCGUAGGCGGUUAAAUAAGUUUAUGGUCUAAGUGCAAUGCUCAACAUUGUGAUGCUAUAAAAACUGUUUAGCUAGGGUAAGAUAGAGGCAAGUGGAAUUCCAUGUGUAGUGGUAAAAUGCGUAAAUAUAUGGAGGAACACCAGUAGCGAAGGCGGCUUGCUGGGUCUUUACUGACGCUGAGGCACGAAAGCGUGGGGAGCAAACAGGAUUAGAUACCCUGGUAGUCCACGCCGUAAACGAUGAGUACUAAACGUUGGGUAAAACCAGUGUUGAAGUUAACACAUUAAGUACUCCGCCUGAGUAGUACGUACGCAAGUAUGAAACUUAAAGGAAUUGACGGGACUCCGCACAAGCGGUGGAUCAUGUUGUUUAAUUCGAAGGUACCCGAAAAACCUCACCAGGUCUUGACAUGCUUCUGCAAAGCUGUAGAAACACAGUGGAGGUUAUCAGUUGCACAGGUGGUGCAUGGUUGUCGUCAGCUCGUGUCGUGAGAUGUUGGGUUAAGUCCCGCAACGAGCGCAACCCUUAUUGUUAGUUACCAGCACGUAAUGGUGGGGACUUUAGCAAGACUGCCAGUGAUAAAUUGGAGGAAGGUGGGGACGACGUCAAAUCAUCAUGCCCCUUAUGACCUGGGCUACAAACGUGAUACAAUGGCUGUUACAAAGGGUAGCUGAAGCGCAAGUUUUUGGCGAAUCUCAAAAAAACAGUCUCAGUUCGGAUUGAAGUCUGCAACUCGACUUCAUGAAGUUGGAAUCGCUAGUAAUCGCGAAUCAGCAUGUCGCGGUGAAUACAUUCACGGGGUUUGUACACACCGCCCGUCA